rnacentral:misc_RNA from 1 species
GGUAGCGCGACGGGUGGGUGGGACGAGUGGAAAAAACAGCGGGCGCGCGCACCACACACGUUUAAUGUACGCGGACGAAAACGCGCGCACACGCGCACCACGGACGGGCCGCCGGUCGUCGCAGCGCGUACACGCACCGCCGCCACGAACUUAUAUAUCCCGCGAAAUCUUUCGCUACCGUAAUCAGUACUUCGUUGACCGCCCACGCAGUAACACCGUCGUCCAGGCCGCCGAGCGGCAACGUUAGUUCCGCCGCCCUGUCCAUGAACAUAACGUGAACAUCACGACCAAUCGGUCGCAAUGACAAAAAAAUUUGAAUUCAAUUGGCAGAUCCCAGUUCCUGAUUUGUUGCUACAAGGUAGUGUGUUUGACCGUUGGACUGAAGAAAAAGAUAAUGUUGAAAUUGAAUACGGAUGUACAUUCAAAGUGGACGAAUAUGGAUUUUUCAUUUACUGGAAGAGUGAAAAUCGAGAUGGAGAUGUCAUUGAGUUAUGUCAAGUCAGUGACAUACGCUCAGGAGGUUUACCUAAAGAUACCCGACAACAACAACAGCUGAUAAAUAAACAUGGUGAUACAUUGGAAGAGAAAUCUUUAACGAUAUGCAGCAACACGGAUUACAUCAACAUAAAUUAUCAACAUAUUAUUUGUGCAGAUGCUGCAACUGCAAAACAAUGGCAGGAAGGUCUUCGUAAAAUAACUCACAACAAUAAGAUGAACAAUGUAUGUGUACGAACCAAUCUUAUGAAACAUUGGAUGCGAUUAGGUAUGUUGGUUGAUCCAAAAGGAAAAGUUCCCGUAAAAGUAAUUGCUAGAACAUUUGCAUCAGGUAAAACUGAAAAGAUGGUUUACCAGUGUUUGGCUGAUCUCAACUUGCCUAGUGGAAAAAAUGAUACUAUCGAGCCAUCAGAUUUUACUUUUGAUAAGUUUUAUGCACUAUAUCACAAGAUAUGUCCUAGAAAUGAUAUUGAAGAGCUAUUCCAGUCAAUCACCCAAGGAAAAGCUGAAAAUAUCAGUUUGGAUCAAUUUAUUACUUUCCUAAAUGAAAAACAGCGUGAUCCUCGUUUAAACGAAAUUUUAUACCCUUUGUAUGAUGAAAAGAGGGCAAUUGAAAUUAUCAACGACUAUGAACCAUCAGAAGAGGUAAAAAAUGAAAAGCAAUUGUCAAAGGAAGGUCUAAUUCGAUAUUUAAUGUCUGACGAAAAUGCACCAGUAUUUUUGGAUCGAUUAGAAUUUUACAUGGAUAUGGAUCAACCUUUAGCUCAUUAUUAUAUUAAUUCAUCUCAUAAUACUUAUUUAUCUGGGAGACAAUUUGGUGGAAAGUCCAGUGUUGAAAUGUAUCGACAGACACUUUUAGCUGGAUGCAGAUGUGUUGAACUUGACUGUUGGGAUGGUAAAGGUGAAGAAGAAGAACCAAUUAUUACUCAUGGAAAAGCCAUGUGUACAGAUAUUCUGUUUAAGGAUGUAAUUUAUGCUAUUCGUGAUACAGCAUUUGUAACAUCAGAUUAUCCUAUAAUAUUAUCAUUUGAAAAUCAUUGUUGCAAAAGUCAACAGUAUAAACUUGCCAAGUAUUGUGAUGAAAUUCUUGGGGAUUUAUUGAUGAGAGAAUGCUUACCUGAUUAUCCAUGUGAAGCUGGUGUGCCGUUACCUCCCCCGUCAUUACUAAAAAGAAAAAUUAUGAUUAAGAACAAAAGAUUAAAACCUGAAGUUGAAAAAAGUGAACUUGAGUUGUUUAGAAAAGGACAAUUUGUUAUUGAAGAUGAAGAGAAAGAAGAUGCAACUGCUGUAACAACAAAUCCCCCUGAAGAAAAAAAGGUGGAAGCACCUGAUGCUGGAACUGGUACAGAAGGUGCUGAGGCACCACCACCAAUACAAUAUACUGGAUCAACAACAAAUGUCCAUCCAUGGCUAUCUUCAAUGGUAAAUUAUGCACAGCCAAUCAAGUUUCAGGGUUUCGAUGUGGCUGAAAAAAAAAAUAUUCAUCAUAACAUGAGUUCAUUUGCUGAAAAUACCGGACUUGGAUACUUAAAGUCUCAAGCCAUUGAAUUUGUUAACUACAAUAAAAGACAAAUGAGUCGAAUCUAUCCAAAAGGAACACGUGCUGAUUCUUCUAACUAUAUGCCUCAGGUGUUUUGGAAUGCUGGUUGUCAAAUGGUAUCAUUGAAUUUUCAAACUGCUGAUUUGCCAAUGCAACUUAAUCAAGGAAAAUUUGAGUACAACGGUAACUGUGGUUAUUUGUUGAAACCUGAUUUCAUGCGUCGAGCAGACCGAAGUUUUGACCCUUUCGCAGAAUCUCCGGUAGAUGGAGUGAUUGCUGCCCAAUGUUCAGUUCAAGUGAUUGCCGGUCAGUUUUUGUCUGAUAAGAAAGUCGGCACUUAUGUUGAAGUUGAUAUGUAUGGCCUUCCUACUGAUACUAUUCGUAAAGAAUUUCGUACCCGGAUGGUGCCGAGCAAUGGUUUAAAUCCAGUGUAUAACGAGGAGCCAUUUUUAUUCAGAAAGGUAGUGUUACCAGAUUUAGCAGUACUGCGAAUUGGUGUAUAUGAAGAAAAUGGAAAAUUAUUGGGACAGAGGAUUCUACCUUUAGAUGGGCUACAAGCUGGCUAUAGACAUAUAUCCUUAAGAUCAGAAGCCAAUUUCCCAAUGGCUUUACCUAUGUUAUUUUGUAAUAUUGAAUUGAAAAUUUAUGUUCCUGAUGGUUUUGAAGAUUUCAUGGCUGCUUUAUCUGAUCCAAGAGCAUUUUUGUCGGCACAAGAAAAGCGUGCGCAACAGAUGAAGGCAAUGGGUAUUGAAGAAACCGAUAUUAACACCAAAGAUAUUGUGGCUGGUGGGGGAGGAGAAGGCGACAAGAUUAAUAAAAAGGGGAGCAAAAACAAAAAGUCUGAUGAACCAAAGAAAGAAGAAGAACUGAAAUUUGAAGCUAUAAACCUUGAGUACUUGAGAAACGAUAAGGGAUUUCAGAAAGCUAGACGAAAGCAAGAAAAAGAACUAGAAGCUUUGCGUAAACGACAAGCCAAAGAAAAAGCUUCUAUACAAAAACAGCAAUGUACAUCUGUAGAAAAGGCUGUUAAAGGCAAAGAUAAAACUGAAGUAAUCAAUGAUGGUAGUGUUAAAAAAUUAGUAACUGAGCAAAUGACUCAAUGGUCAGAAAUGGUUGAACGUCAUAGGCGAGAAAAGUGGGCAUUGCAAAAACAACAAGCCAUUGAGCAGCAAGAUGCUCUUGUGAAACUUAUGGAGUCACUUCAAGCUGCACAAAUGAAGCAGUUGGAAAUUCGACAUGAGAAAGAUUUAAAGGAGAUGAACACAAGGCAAGCAAAAAUAUCUGUGGAAGUAAUGAAAGAAGUGAUGAAUGAUAAAACACUUAAGACUAAAGGUGAUAAGGAUAGGCGGUUGAGGGAAAAGAAACAAAAUAACACUAAGAAGUUCAUGGACGAGAGAAAAUACGCUCAGAUCAAGCAGGCUAAAGAUAAAGACAAGUUGCAGGCAAAGCAUGAAAAGCAAAAGCAAGAGUUGAUCAAAGAUAUUAACAAUAUAUUCGAUCUGUACAUUUUAGCUUUUGGAGAUGUACAAGAACGAGGAGAUAGAGUACGAGCUGAGCAACAAGACUGAGUUUUUUGUAUGAUUCCUCAGUGACAACACACAUUGAUGAACCACGUGUCAUUGCUGCGGUUAUUAUUGUUAAAAAUAAUGCAGUAGACCCAGUGUACACCUAAUUGUACAAAAUUUUGAAAAGGUCAACCUAGUCAAUCCUUACUAAACAUCGUUCUAUGGCCUAGAAUAAUAACAAUCCACCGCUGGAAAUAUUUAUGAGUCAACUUAAUAAUAUUGUUAGUUAUAAAUUAAAUAUGUAUACAUAUACAUAUUUCUGUGGUUGAAA